UCCGGCUUGUCACCGGCAGUUUCUCCAGAGUGCCCGGCCCUACCCGAUGGCAACUGAAGAUGAGGGUUGCGCUCGUUGCGGGACUUAACCCAACAUCUCACGACACGAGCUGACGACAGCCAUGCAGCACCUGUGUUCCAGGCUCCGAAGAGAAGGCCGCAUCUCUGCGACCGGUCCUGGACAUGUCAAGGGCUGGUAAGGUUCUGCGCGUUGCGUCGAAUUAAACCACAUGCUCCACCGCUUGUGCGGGCCCCCGUCAAUUUCUUUGAGUUUUAAUCUUGCGACCGUACUCCCCAGGCGGGGCAUUUAAUGCGUUAGCUGCGGCACCCAGGGGGUCAAUACCCCGGACACCUAGUGCCCAUCGUUUACAGCGUGGACUAC
rnacentral:misc_RNA from 1 species